GAAUGCUGACAUAAGUAACGAUAAAGCGGGUGAAAAGCCCGCUCGCCGGAAGACCAAGGGUUCCUGUCCAACGUUAAUCGGGGCAGGGUGAGUCGACCCCUAAGGCGAGGCCGAAAGGCGUAGUCGAUGGGAAACGGGUUAAUAUUCCCGUACUUGGUGUUACUGCGAAGGGGGGACGGAGAAGGCUAUGUUGGCCGGGCGACGGUUGUCCCGGUUUAAGCGUGUAGGUGUGUGUUCCAGGUAAAUCCGGUUCACUUUAACACUGAGGCGUGACGACGAGGCACUACGGUGCUGAAGCAACAAAUGCCCUGCUUCCAGGAAAAGCCUCUAAGCAUCAGGUAACAUCAAAUCGUACCCCAAACCGACACAGGUGGUCAGGUAGAGAAUACCAAGGCGCUUGAGAGAACUCGGGUGAAGGAACUAGGCAAAAUGGUGCCGUAACUUCGGGAGAAGGCACGCUGACACGUAGGUGAAGUGAUUUACUCAUGGAGCUGAAGUCAGUCGAAGAUACCAGCUGGCUGCAACUGUUUAUUAAAAACACAGCACUGUGCAAACACGAAAGUGGACGUAUACGGUGUGACGCCUGCCCGGUGCCGGAAGGUUAAUUGAUGGGGUCAGCGCAAGCGAAGCUCCUGAUCGAAGCCCCGGUAAACGGCGGCCGUAACUAUAACGGUCCUAAGGUAGCGAAAUUCCUUGUCGGGUAAGUUCCGACCUGCACGAAUGGCGUAAUGAUGGCCAGGCUGUCUCCACCCGAGACUCAGUGAAAUUGAACUCGCUGUGAAGAUGCAGUGUACCCGCGGCAAGACGGAAAGACCCCGUGAACCUUUACUAUAGCUUGACACUGAACAUUGAGCCUUGAUGUGUAGGAUAGGUGGGAGGCUUUGAAGUGUGGACGCCAGUCUGCAUGGAGCCGACCUUGAAAUACCACCCUUUAAUGUUUGAUGUUCUAACGUGGACCCGUGAUCCGGGUUGCGGACAGUGUCUGGUGGGUAGUUUGACUGGGGCGGUCUCCUCCUAAAGAGUAACGGAGGAGCACGAAGGUUGGCUAAUCCUGGUCGGACAUCAGGAGGUUAGUGCAAUGGCAUAAGCCAGCUUGACUGCGAGCGUGACGGCGCGAGCAGGUGCGAAAGCAGGUCAUAGUGAUCCGGUGGUUCUGAAUGGAAGGGCCAUCGCUCAACGGAUAAAAGGUACUCCGGGGAUAACAGGCUGAUACCGCCCAAGAGUUCAUAUCGACGGCGGUGUUUGGCACCUCGAUGUCGGCUCAUCACAUCCUGGGGCUGAAGUAGGUCCCAAGGGUAUGGCUGUUCGCCAUUUAAAGUGGUACGCGAGCUGGGUUUAGAACGUCGUGAGACAGUUCGGUCCCUAUCUGCCGUGGGCGCUGGAGAACUGAGGGGGGCUGCUCCUAGUACGAGAGGACCGGAGUGGACGCAUCACUGGUGUUCGGGUUGUCAUGCCAAUGGCACUGCCCGGUAGCUAAAUGCGGAAGAGAUAAGUGCUGAAAGCAUCUAAGCACGAAACUUGCCCCGAGAUGAGUUCUCCCUGAGACUUUAGGUCUCCUGAAGGAACGUUGAAGACGACGACGUUGAUAGGCCGGGUGUGUAAGCGCAGCGAUGCGUUGAGCUAACCGGUACUAAUGAACCGUGAGGCUUAACCUUACA
rnacentral:rRNA from 1 species